CCCGAGUUGGUGCAAUGGUAGUAUGUCCGAUCUCACUGAUACAGAGGCUGCAGCUCUAGAAUCGGCCCUUCGGGGGCGGAAGACUCAGGUUCAAAUUCUGAACUUGGGA